UGCAUUUGCUUUAUUUACCUGACAAAUGUCCCAGACUCUCUGGACUGCAGGUUCAAUAAAGCUCUCCUUGUGAUACCUCACAGUGUGGAUGGACAUAAAAUUGCAGCAUUUAAACUACAGUGAGCUCAGUGUGACAAGUCAGCAUUUGGUCCUGAGUCUCCUCUUUACAGUAAGUGUGAUCAGCCCUUGCAUCAGGAGCUGUCGGAGCAUUAAACUCCAGUUUUGUCUGAA